rnacentral:rRNA from 1 species
CUACGUGCCAGCAGCCGCGGUAAUACGUAGGGUGCGAGCGUUAAUCGGAAUUACUGGGCGUAAAGCGAGCGCAGACGGUUACUUAAGCAGGAUGUGAAAUCCCCGGGCUCAACCUGGGAACUGCGUUCUGAACUGGGUGACUAGAGUGUGUCAGAGGGAGGUAGAAUUCCACGUGUAGCAGUGAAAUGCGUAGAGAUGUGGAGGAAUACCGAUGGCGAAGGCAGCCUCCUGGGAUAACACUGACGUUCAUGCUCGAAAGCGUGGGUAGCAAACAGGAUUAGAUACCCUGGUAGUCCACGCCCUAAACGAUGUCAAUUAGCUGUUGGGCAACUUGAUUGCUUAGUAGCGUAGCUAACGCGUGAAAUUGACCGCCUGGGGAGUACGGUCGCAAGAUUAAAACUCAAAGGAAUUGACGGGGACCCGCACAAGCGGUGGAUGAUGUGGAUUAAUUCGAUGCAACGCGAAGAACCUUACCUGCUUGACAU